GAUUACGAUGCGACGCCGCGUGGGGGAUGAAGGCCUUCGGGUUGUAAACCUCUGUGUUAUGGGAUGAAUUGGUCGUUGCCGAUAAAGCAACGUUUGUGACGUUACCAUAGUAGAAAGCCCCAGCUAACUACGUGCCAGCAGCUGCGGUAAUACGUAGGGGGCAAGCGUUGUCCGGAAUCACUGGGCGUAAAGCGCGCGCAGGCGGUGGAGUAAGUCAGACGUGAAAGGGUUCGGCUCAACCGAGCCAUUGCGUUUGAAACUACCUCACUUGAGUCUAGAAGAGGAAAGUGGAAUGUAUGGUGUAGCGGUGGAAUGCUUAGAUAUCAUAUAGAACACCCGUGGCGAAGGCGGCUUUCUGGUCUAAGACUGACGCUCAUGCGCGAAAGUUUGGGGAGCAACCGGGAUUAGAUACCCCGCUAGUCCUUACUGUAAACGAUGGGUACUAAGUGUAGGGGGUGUUGAUUCCCUCUGUGCUGUAGCUAACGCAUUAAGUACCCCGCCUGGGGAGUACAGCCGCAAGGUUAAAACUCAAAGGUAAUUGACGGGGGGGCCGCACAAGCGGUGGAGCAUGUCGCUUAAUUCGAAGCAACGCGAAGAACCUUAUCCAGGGCUUGACAUCGCAGUGACCGCUAUAGAAAUAUAGUUUUCCUUCGGGACACUAUGACGGGUGCUGCAUGGCUGUCGUCAGCUCGUGUCGUGAGAUGUUGGGUUAAGUCCCGCAACGAGCGCAACCCUUGUCUUUAGUUGCCAACAGGUAAUGCUGGGGACUCUAAAGAGACCGCUUGGUGACGAGCCAAUUC
rnacentral:rRNA from 1 species